rnacentral:rRNA from 1 species
CCUACGGGAGGCAGCAGUAAGGAAUAUUGGGCAAUGGACGCAAGUCUAACCCAGCCAUGCCGCGUGGAGGAUGAAGGUCCUCUGGAUUGUAAACUUCUUUUAUUUGGGAAGAAACUCUCGAUUUCCAUCGGGAUUGACGGUACCAAGUGAAUAAGCACCGGCUAACUCCGUGCCAGCAGCCGCGGUAAUACGGAGGGUGCAAGCGUUAUCCGGAUUCACUGGGUUUAAAGGGUGCGUAGGUGGGAAGGUAAGUCAGUGGUGAAAUCUCCGGGCUUAACCCGGAAACUGCCAUUGAUACUAUCUUUCUUGAAUACCCUGGAGGUGAGCGGAAUAUGUCAUGUAGCGGUGAAAUGCUUAGAUAUGACAUGGAACACCCAUUGCGAAGGCAGCUCACUACGGGAAUAUUGACACUGAGGCACGAAAGCGUGGGGAUCAAACAGGAUUAGAUACCCUGGUAGUCCACGCCCUAAACGAUGAUCACUCGACAUCAGCGAUACACAGUUGGUGUCUGAGCUAAAGCAUUAAGUGAUCCACCUGGGAAGUACGAUCGCAAGAUUGAAACUCAAAGGAAUUGACGG